rnacentral:rRNA from 1 species
UAGUCCACGCCGUAAACGAUGGGUACUAGGUGUUAGGGGUUUCGAUGCCUCUAGUGCCGCAGUAAACGCAAUAAGUACCCCGCCUGGGGAGUACGGUCGCAAGACUGAAACUCAAAGGAAUUGACGGGGGCCCGCACAAGCGGUGGAGCAUGUGGUUUAAUUCGACGCAACGCGAAGAACCUUACCAAGACUUGACAUCCUUUUGACUGGAAAUGUAAUGUUUCCUUCUCUUCGGAGCAGUAGUGAC